UACGGAGGGUGCAAGCGUUAAUCGGAAUUACUGGGCGUAAAGCGUGCGCAGGCGGUUUGUUAAGUCUGCUGUGAAAUCCCCGAGCUCAACUUGGGAAUUGCAGUGGAUACUGGCAAGCUGGAGUACGGUAGAGGAAGGUGGAAUUCCCGGUGUAGCGGUGAAAUGCGUAGAUAUCAGGAGGAACACCGGUGGUGUAGACGGCUAUCUGGACCGUAACUGACGCUGAGGCACGAAAGCGUGGGUAGCAAACAGG
rnacentral:rRNA from 1 species